UAAUACGUAGGGGGCGAGCGUUACCCGGAUUUACUGGGCGUAAAGGGCGUGUAGGUGGCUCGGUUAGUCGUUUGUGAAAGACCUCAGCUUAACUGAGGAAGUGCUGACGAAACCACCGAGCUAGAGGACAGUAGAGGCGAGUGGAAUUCCCGGCGGAGCGGUGAAAUGCGUAGAUUUCGGGAGGAACACCAGUGGCGAAGGCGGCUCGCUGGGCUGUACCUGACACUGAGGCGCGAAAGCAUGGGGAGCAAACCGGAUUAGAUACCCGGGUAGUCCAUGCCCUAAACGAUGGAUGCUAGGUAUUGGGGGUAUCGACCCCUCCUGUGCCACAGCUUACGCGUUAAGCAUCCCGCCUGGGGAGUACGGUCGCAAGGCUA
rnacentral:rRNA from 1 species